GGGUCGUGUUUAAUGAGCACAACCUUCAUACGUUCGGUGCCGAGAUCGUAAUGGUCUCGAAUACUAGUUGCGCUGAAAUGAUAUGGUGACCAGCAAGUCGAAAAACUGCCGUUUGGGCUGCGUGAGAUGCGCCGGGUCCACC
rnacentral:ncRNA from 1 species